CAGCCGCCGCGGGAAUACGGAGGGUGCAAGCGUUAAUCGGAAUUACUGGGCGUAAAGCGCACGCAGGCGGUCUGACAAGUCAGAUGUGAAAUCCCCGGGCUUAACCUGGGAACUGCAUUUGAAACUGUCAGGCUGGAGUCUUGUAGAGGGGGGUGGAAUUCCAGGUGUAGCGGUGAAAUGCGUAGAGAUCUGGAGGAAUACCGGUGGCGAAGGCGGCCCCCUGGACAAAGACUGACGCUCAGGUGCGAAAGCGUGGGGAGCAAACAGGAUUAGAUACCCGGGUAGUCCCUGUCUCUUAUAC
rnacentral:rRNA from 1 species